rnacentral:rRNA from 1 species
UAUACAUGCAAGUCGAGGGAGAUUAUCGGAUUCGUCUGAUAUGGAACCGGCGCACCGGUGCGUAACACGUAUGCAACCUACCUUUAACUGGGGUAUAGCUCAGAGAAAUCUGAAUUAAUCCCCCAUAACACUACGACAUGGCAUCAUGAUGUAGUUAAAGCUCCGGCGGUUAAGGAUGGGCAUGCGGUACAUUAGCUAGUUGGUGAGGUAACGGCUCACCAAGGCUACGAUGUAUAGGGGGUCUGAGAGGAUGAUCCCCCACACUGGUACUGAGACACGGACCAGACUCCUACGGGAGGCAGCAGUAGGGAAUAUUGGUCAAUGGACGAAAGUCUGAACCAGCCAUGCCGCGUGAAGGAUGAAGGCCCUCUGGGUCGUAAACUUCUUUUAUUAGGGAAGAAACCUCAGGAUGCGUCCUGAGCUGACGGUACUUAAUGAAUAAGGAUCGGCUAACUUCGUGCCAGCAGCCGCGGUAAGACGAAGGAUCCAAGCGUUGUCCGGAUUUACUGGGUUUAAAGGGUGCGUAGGCGGAAAAUUAAGUCAGUGGUGAAAGCCCGCAGCUCAACUGUGGAACUGCCAUUGAAACUGGUUUUCUUGAAUAUAGCUGAGGCAGAUGGAAUAUAACAUGUAGCGGUGAAAUGCUUAGAUAUGUUAUAGAACACCGAUUGCGAAGGCAGUCUGCUAAACUAUUAUUGACGCUGAGGCACGAAAGCGUGGGGAGCGAACAGGAUUAGAUACCCUGGUAGUCCACGCCCUAAACGUUGAUUACUCGCUGUUGGCGAUAUACUGUCAGUGGCUAAGCGAAAGCAUUAAGUAAUCCACCUGGGAAGUACGACCGCAAGGUUGAAACUCAAAGGAAUUGACGGGGGCCCGCACAAGCGGAGGAGCAUGUGGUUUAAUUCGAUGAUACGCGAGAAACCUUACCUGGGCUUAAAUGUCAGGUGACCGCUGCCGAAAGGUGGCUUCCUUCGGGGCAACUGGCAAGGUGCUGCAUGGCUGUCGUCAGCUCGUGC